UGAGGAAUAUUGGGCAAUGCCCGCAAGGGUGACCCAGCAACGCCGCGUGGAGGAUGAAUGUCGUAAGAUUGUAAACUCCUGUUAGAGGGGAAGAAUAGUACCGGUUGGACCGGUAUAUGACUGUACCCUCAGAGAAAGCCCCGGCUAACUACGUGCCAGCAGCCGCGGUAAUACGUAGGGGGCAAGCGUUGUCCGGAUUUACUGGGUGUAAAGGGCGCGCAGGCGGGAUAAAAAGUCAGUGGUGAAAUCCUACAGCUUAACUGUAGAACUGCCUUUGAUACUUUUAUUCUUGAGUUCGGGAGAGAGAGACGGAAUUCCAGGUGUAGUGGUGAAAUACGUAGAUAUCUGGAAGAACACCAGUUGCGAAGGCGGUCUCUUGGUCCGAUACUGACGCUGAGGCGCGAAAGCGUGGGGA
rnacentral:rRNA from 1 species